AGCAGUGGGGAAUUUUGGACAAUGGGCGCAAGCCUGAUCCAGCAAUGCCGCGUGAGUGAAGAAGGCCUUCGGGUUGUAAAGCUCUUUUGUCAGGGAAGAAACGGUGAGGGCUAAUAUCUCUUGCUAAUGACGGUACCUGAAGAAUAAGCACCGGCUAACUACGUGCCAGCAGCCGCGGUAAUACGUAGGGUGCAAGCGUUAAUCGGAAUUACUGGGCGUAAAGCGUGCGCAGGCGGUUUUGUAAGUUUGUCGUGAAAGCCCCGGGCUCAACCUGGGAAUUGCGAUGAAGACUGCAAGGCUUGAAUCUGGCAGAGGGGGGUAGAAUUCCACGUGUAGCAGUGAAAUGCGUAGAGAUGUGGAGGAACACCGAUGGCGAAAGCAGCCCCCUGGGUCAAGAUUGACGCUCAUG
rnacentral:rRNA from 1 species